GCCUGGGAGGGGAGUGGGGAUCCCCCGAAGUCUCGCAGCACAGUGUGGUGCUUAGGCCGUCGCCCCGGCCGCCACUGCGCCUCCCCACCCGCAGGCCGCCGCAGCGCCACGGGCGGCCGCGCGAGGUAGCGUUUGGGGGCUCCUGGGGACGCGGUCUCCGGCGCGCAGGUCCGCCCAGGGUUGGCCGCGUGGUCCCCCGGGCUUCCCACGCCCGAUUCGAAUUGUGACUCCGGCUGGCUCCGGACCGAGCCGAGGACGCUCCGGUACCACAGCAGGAGCCGCGCGGGCGGGGGCGCGGGGCGCCUGGGAGAUGUAGUUCGCGGCCUUCCUUGGCGCACCAGACAAUGCCCGACGCGGGCCCGCUGGAGAAACGCCUUCCUUGGCUUUGCAGAAACACCGCUUGCUAUUAAUACAGCAACGAAUACAGCUUUAAAAACGCGCCCAGUGUCCUCCCUGGAAUAACAGCUGAAGGUUAUACCAGAUAUUUCUAAAUGUAUAUGGGGAGAUAAAAGGAUGUAAUGGAAAUACAGAAAUACGUGUCGAGCUGCUACUUAUACACUUUUAAAUAUUUAAAGAAAAAAAUUGCUAAAAGCAGAUGAAUGCUUCUUCACCUCAAGUUUAAAAGUCUCCUUACGAUGGCCGGGCGCCGUGGCUCAGGCCUGUAAUCCCGGCACUUUGGGAAGCCAAGGCAGGCAGAUCGCUUGAGCUCAGGAGUUGGAGAACAGCCUGGGCAACAUGGCGAAGCUCCAUCCAUACUGAAGAUACAAAAAUUAGCCGGGUGUGGUGGUGCACUCCUGUAGUCCCAGCUACUUGGGAGGCUGAGGUGGGAGGAUCGCUUGAGCCCAGGAAGUCGAGGCUGCAGUGAGCCGAGAUAGCCCCACUGCACUUGAGCCUGGGUGACAGAGUGAGACCCUGUCUCCAAAAAAAAAAGAGUCUUCUACGAUUAUUUUUAGAAAUUACAAAAACAUCAAGAGAUGGGUGUGUUUGGUUUUCAGCAGCACAGCACGGUUCGGCUGAGGCGGCACAGGCUGACUUCUGACUGUGAAUGACAGGGUCUUGCUCUGCCACCCAGACUGGAGUGCAGAGGUGCUAUCUCGGCUCACUGCGAACUCUGCCUCUCAGGCCUAAGCUAUCCUCCUGCCUCAGCCUCUCAAGUAGCAGGGACUACAGGCAUGCACCACCACGCCCCGCUAAUUUUUAUAUUUUUUAGUAGAGAUGGGUUUUCACUGUGUUGCCCAGGCUGGUCUCGAACUCCUGGGUUCAAGUGACCUGCCCAAAGUGCUGGAAUUUCAGAGCCAGAGCCCUGGUUUUAUACACUUUAUUAUGUUCCCCUCCCUGCUAGAUUGCAAACCCUCUGAGGGCAAAGGAGCUGUUUCCUUACCCUCCAAGGCCUAGAGUGGCUUGUAGCUUGAAGUAGGUGUUUAACAAAUAAUAAAUGAGUAAAUUAUUGUGUUAA